rnacentral:rRNA from 1 species
GAUAAACGCUAGCGGCAGGCCUAAUACAUGCAAGUCGAACGGUGUCUUCGGACAUAGUGGCGCACGGGUGCGUAACACGUAUGCAACCUACCUUACAUUGGGGGAUAGCCUUUCGAAAGGGAGAUUAAUACCGCAUAAGACAGUAGCUGGGCAUCCAGCAGCUGUUAAAGAUUUAUCGAUGUAAGCUGGGCAUGCGUCCAAUUAGCUAGUUGGUGAGGUAACGGCUCACCAAGGCAAUGAUUGGUAGGGGAACGGAGAGGUCAAUCCCCCACACUGGCACUGGGAUACGGGCCAGACUCCUACGGGAGGCAGCAGUAGGGAAUAUCGGGCAAUGGGCGCAAGCCUGAUCCAGCCAUGCCGCGUGUGUGAAGAAGGCCUUCGGGUUGUAAAGCACUUUCAGCGAGGAGGAAGGGUGGUGUGUUAAUAGCACAUCAUUUUGACGUUACUCGCAGAAGAAGCACCGGCUAACUCUGUGCCAGCCGCCGCAGUAACAC